CGAUGAUAAAAUUUUUGGAUUUAAUAAAGCGCCGGUUACAUCAUCUAAGACUGUAAAGCACAAUUUAAUGUGGACACAUAAUCAUUGACUGUGACGUGUGACUUAUAAAGUGCUGUAGCGUUUACACAUUGUACGACUGUUAGGCGUCAGUAUGACUGGGUAAAACACAUACUACCCUUCUUUUAGGGGUUAAUAUAUCGGCACAUGCGCACUUUCGAAAUAUGUAUACGGAAAUGUAAAAGACAUCAGGAUAUUCUCAAGAGGCAUGAUCCAAUUUUACAUUUAGAUUACAUGAAAUGUAAUACACGUUGCCCAUUAUGAUUUUGCGUAUCUGCUACGUUUUGUAAUUACCAGCAGAUUACAUAAUAAUUAAUAAUCCAAUUACAAUCUAAAAUAUUACUUAAACGGAGGGUUCGUCUUAAUUUUUGGGUUACACCACUACAAACACCUUCAACCCGGCUCACAUUUUGAUGCAUGUGCAUGUAUAUUGAUGUAUAUCAAUAUUAAUAUCAUUAAGACAGCCUGUGAUAUACCGGUAGGUCAAGCCGGGUUGAACGUGUUAAAAUUACUAUUCCGCAUACUACAUUAUUAUUAAAAAUGUAGAGAUACAGUUGAGAUCAAUAUUAAGCCUUGUAAUUCCAUAAUUACUUUACACGGCUGUUAUGUAAGCCUUGGACCAUAAAAAUCGGCUGAUAAUGGCAGUCUCCCUAAUCAUCUCUGCGUGAUUUAUUAAUACUGAUUAAUACUAAUAGGUUAUGUUCAGCAGAAAUAGCGCUAAGAUAGUGAAUUAAAAUGAGCCGGUCGAACCCAAAGAAUAAUGAAGAACUACUAGUGAUUCCAAAUUAAGGGCUCUUGGCUUUAUCUCUAACAGGAGCCACUUCCGUAUGAGUGCACUCGUUUUCCACUGUAUUUGAUCAAUUGUCAUCUACAAUGAAUAUAAUCAAAUUCAAUAUAAUAUUUAAUUGUAAUAUAAAAUGCGUUUCACGUUUUAGCUGUAUAGUAUGUUAGUAAGUAGGUAAAUAUGUUGAGUAAGUAGUAUAUGUAUACAUAAAUCAAUUUGUACCAUUGUUAUAUGAAGUAUGUUUCAAUAACAACGGGUAAGUAGUGAGUGUCAAAAAUAAAUAUGUAAUACAUGUUA